AGAGUUUGAUCCUGGCUCAGGACGAACGCUGGCGGCGUGCUUAACACAUGCAAGUCGAACGGAAAGGCCCCUGCUUGCAGGGGUACUCGAGUGGCGAACGGGUGAGUAACACGUGGGUGAUCUGCCCUUCACUUCGGGAUAAGCCUGGGAAACUGGGUCUAAUACCGGAUAGGACCAAUCUUUAGUGUGGUUGGUGGAAAGUUUUUUCGGUGGAGGAUGAGCCCGCGGCCUAUCAGCUUGUUGGUGGGGUAAUGGCCUACCAAGGCGACGACGGGUAGCCGGCCUGAGAGGGUGGACGGCCACAUUGGGACUGAGCCACGGCCCAGACUCCUACGGGAGGCAGCAGUGGGGAAUAUUGCACAAUGGGCGGAAGCCUGAUGCAGCGACGCCGCGUGAGGGAUGACGGCCUUCGGGUUGUAAACCUCUUUCGCUAGGGAAGAAGCCUUCGGGUGACGGUACCUGGAUAAGAAGCACCGGCUAACUACGUG
rnacentral:rRNA from 1 species